rnacentral:rRNA from 1 species
AUUGAACGCUGGCGGCGUGCUUAACACAUGCAAGUCGAUCGGUAACGCGGGGGCAACCCUGGCGACGAGAGGCGGACGGGUGAGGAACGCUUGGGAAUCUGCCUAUCAGCGGGGGACAACACGGGGAAACUCGUGCUAAUACCGCAUACGCUCUACGGAGGAAAGCCGGGGACCGCAAGGCCUUGCACUGAUAGAUGAGCCCAAGCCGGAUUAGCUAGUUGGCGGGGUAACGGCCCACCAAGGCGACGAUCCGGAGCUGGUCUGAGAGGACGAUCAGCCACACUGGGACUGAGACACGGCCCAGACUCCUACGGGAGGCAGCAGUGGGGAAUAUUGGACAAUGGGGGAAACCCUGAUCCAGCGACGCCGCGUGGGUGAAGAAGGCCUGCGGGUUGUAAAGCCCUUUCGGUAGGGACGAAAGCUCUCGACCUAACACGUCGGGAGGUUGACUUAACCUACAAAAGAAGCACCGGCUAACUCUGUGCCAGCAGCCGCCGUAAAAC